rnacentral:rRNA from 1 species
GCGGCUACUGCUAUCAGGUUUCGACUAAGCCAUGCGAGUCAAGGGGUCGUAAGACACCGGCGUACUGCUCAGUAACACGCGGACAAUCUACCCCCAGGUGGAGGAUAACCUCGGGAAACUGAGGCUAAUACCCCAUAGUUGUCAUGUGCUGGAAUGCUUUGACGAUGAAAGAAUUUCGCCUGAGGAUGAGUCUGCGGCCUAUCAGGUAGUAUGUGGUGUAAAGGACCACAUAGCCUAAGACGGGUACGGGCCUUGAAAGAGGGAGCCCGGAGAUGGACUCUGAGACACUAGUCCAGGCCCUACGGGGCGCAGCAGGCGCGAAAACUGUGCAAUGCGCGCAAGCGCGACACGGGAAGCCUGAGUGCCUUAACUAUGUUAAGGCUUUUCUUGAUCCUAAAAAGCUCAAGGAAUAAGAGCUGGGUAAGACGGGUGCCAGCCGCCGCGGUAACACCCGCGGCUCGAGUGGUAGUCACUUUUGUUGAGCCUAAAGCGUUUGUAGCCGGAUUUGUAAAUCUCUAGGAAAAUACUUCUGCUUAACUGAAGAAAUUUUGGAGAGACUGCAAAUCUAGGGACCGGGUGAGGUUGAAUGUACUUCUGGGGUAGGGGUAAAAUCCUGUAAUCCUGGAAGGACGACCGGUGGCGAAGGCGUUCAACUAGAACGGAUCCGACGGUGAGGAACGAAGGCUAGGGGAGCAAACCGGAUUAGAUACCCGGGUAGUCCUAGCUGUAAACACUGCCCACUUGGUGUUGCAUCUCCGGUAAGGGGGUGCAGUGCCGUAGCGAAGGUGUUAAGUGGGCCGCUUGGGGAGUAUGGUCGCAAGGCUGAAACUUAA